rnacentral:misc_RNA from 1 species
GGUCUCUAUGCCCAACAAC